ACUGCCCAGCAGGGUCGAGAGGAGAGAAGGGAACCACCCAACCCUCCCCCACUGCCACAAGUUGAGCCACCACUGCAGCAAGAGAAUCCCGAGCCACCCCGGUACGACCCUGCUCCUCCACAGUACCACCCGGUGCUACCACCGCAGUACAAUCCGGUGCCCAAACCACAGUACUGCCCGGCAACGCCACAGUAUAAUCCGGUGCCCCCACCAUACCAACAAGUACCACUACAGGGCCCCCCAGUUUAUCUUUAGCCUGGCCCAGUUCUCCUUCCGCGGGACCCAGCUCCUUCCUUGAUUGACCCAGGCUAGAUAGAGAGGUACAG
rnacentral:lncRNA from 1 species